CAGACUCGGAAACACCAACUCGCUCUUUUCAGCCUUCUCAAUACGCUGCACAAACUCCACAGGAGAAUUUGAGCCUCUGCGAAUGGCAGAAGCAACCGCGGAGGCGGAGGAGCUUUCCACCAACACUGCUAACAACGUCAGCAGCCGCGAGUCACGUGAUGGAGCAAGUUAGGAUUUUGAAGAGAAGGCUCGCUGCUGCUGACGUUGUUAGCAGUGUUGGUGGUAAGCGAAGAGGUUGAAGAAGUGGAAGCGUUGGUGGCGAGGAGAUGAAGCGGUCUUAGGGAAGAGAAGCAGCUACUGCCCGUGGUGGUGGUGGUGGUGGCGGUGCUGGGAGGGUGCGGUUUCAGGGAAUUAGCGGAGGAGAACAGAGGGUUUGCAGAGGUAGAAGCAGUGGCAGUGGAAGCGUGAUUGGGGUUAGAGAGAGGAGUCUGCAGACCAAUGGCGGAGAGUAGCAUUGUUGGUGC
rnacentral:misc_RNA from 1 species